CAAAAUCAAAACUCUCGGCCGCCACUCUUCCUCUCCAUUUUAUUAUUCCUUUCCUCCAUAGUAGUGGCGUUAAUUUAAAGCUGCAAGAACAAAGAAGAGAAAGAGGGUAUCGAUCUACACUGCUUCUCAUUUGUAGACAAAAAAUUUAACUUGUCUGUUUGUCGCUUCUAUAUGGGUGCUCAAGAGAAAAGUACCUUUGAAAAAUUUGAAUCUCUUCUAAUGUCAAACUUAUAGUGAUUACCGAGAGUGCUUCAUUAUUCUUGGAUGCAUGAAGAUCAAGCACGAUGAGGGUGGCAACAUGAAUCAUCAAGCAAUACUUAUGUUCAUUUAAUGUGAAAUUAUGUAAAUUAUUUUUUAUCCCUGUUACAAUCAAGCCUCACAUUGGCUAGUUCUUUUCUUCAAAUUUUAGUUAUUGUAGAAGACUUCUCUACUGCAGAUGCUAUUAAUUUAUUAGUACAAAUGUGUACUUUGAAAUUUAUUUUGUAAAA